AGCUGACCACCGGGAGCUCCGAAUGGCUAGGAGAUGAUUCCAUGUGACCAUGAUUGGCUGUGAGGGCUGGGAUACAGGAGGAGGCUGGGAGUGAGGAAGAUGGAUGGAUAAGAAAGAUCUGUUGGGUUGAGGCCAGUCCUUCAAGAUCAGAGGGAUCCAUGGAUGUUUUCUUCAAAUGCAAAUGGGAAGAAAAAGGGAGGCUCUUCCCGGAUUUCCACUGAUGGGUUUUCAGUCCAAGGCCCGGAAGUCUGUUUGGAUCCCAAGUUCGACCGAACUGUCGUUGACUCAGACCUUUUGAACGAAGACUUUGCUGACGCUCAGCUAAGUUUCGAAAUCAGUCACGGAGGAGUUUGGCAAAGUCCAAGGUUACAACGAAUAAAGUCAAAUGGUCCAUUUUACUAUUUUCCAUCAGCCACCAUCUCAUGGCCCACACGGCUUCUCUACAGAUGCACUUGUCUUCUUCCAGAAGCUGGCUGAUAGAUGACCAUUUGGAUAUCCUGAAGUUCCAGAGCGAUUGAGUCUUUUGAGAGGAAGGAAAGGAGAUGUCAUCAUUGAAGAACAAAUUCGGCAGCUCCUCCGGGUCACGCACUAGAACUGCACAGAGAAACUCUUUUUUGAGUUUUCUCUGCAAAGCCUUCUCAUUCUCCAACCUAUUAACUUGCAACAAUGGAAAUAAUCGCAGUCAAGACGGGUGUGGGAAGUUUAAUUUCCCUCCAUGCUCUCCGACUUUGAAGAAACCAGCUCCAAACCCAUAGCCAACAGGGUAUUAAAAUUCAUGAAUGCGCAUAUAAUAUAAUUUUGAUCUACAAAGUUUUUCAGGUUUUGUUGUCAGCUCCUAUUCUGCCACUCGCCAUCAUUAACGGGACCAACGAUGACAGAUUCACUAA